rnacentral:rRNA from 1 species
UACGAAGGGGGCUAGCGUUGUUCGGAAUCACUGGGCGUAAAGGGCGCGUAGGCGGCUUUAUAAGUCGGGGGUGAAAGCCUGUGGCUCAACCACAGAAUUGCCUUCGAUACUGUAGAGCUUGAGACCGGAAGAGGUAAGUGGAACUGCGAGUGUAGAGGUGAACUUCGUAGAUAUUCGCAAGAACACCAGUGGCGAAGGCGGCUUACUGGUCCGGUUCUGACGCUGAGGCGCGAAAGCGUGGGGAGCAAACAGG